CACACAAACACUGCAUGUUACUGAGGCUAGGAAUUAACUCUGUAGUUCUAAUAAUUUGCCGUAAAAAUUGAACUCUUCCUUCAGGUGCCCUGGGAAGACAACUGUUGACACGUCAGGAACCAGAAAUCUGCACUGAUGUCUACCAUAAUUGUUCAGAUCAUCUUACUGCUGUUGGUUAGAUUUGCCCUGAGCUCACCGCUUCCAGCAGGAGGAAACAGUUCCCUGGAUAUUUUUUAUUGUGAGGCUGCAGGAUGUGCUGCCAWCGUGUCAAAGGUGUUCUGUGAUGACCAGUGUGUCUUUGAGAAUAAACACGUUGCAGAUUGCAGAGGACUUCCRUCACUUCACUCUGUCUGUCAGCAUGAUGGCCGUGCCUUUAUUUCUUUUAAAGCAACCAAAUGUGAAUUUGAGAGUAAGAGCAGCUACAUUAGCACCAUCAAAUGUACAGAUGUUGAUCCCGUCUGUUUAAAUCACACACUCAUCACAUCGACACCAGCUGUUUUAGAUGUUGAGCAGAAACCAGAGUGGACCACAGAUAAGACGAUAUGUAUCAUUUUAGUAAUCUGUAAGUUAUAAUCCUCAUGAGCUGUGAUACGCUCUGAUCAGCCUUUUUCUUUUGUUUCUGAAUGCACACAAUAAAAAUAAAUUAACAUACAACUAAACAAAUAAAAAAUAAGGAGUUGUAGUAAAAACUGCAGUAAGUGUUAGAUUUUAGAAAGCUGGCUUGUUGCUACUAACCCAACUUGCCUUUCUCUGCUUUCCUGCUUCACUGAGGGACAACAUGUUCUUAUAAAGUCUGUCAGGUGGAAUUGUACUGCUAGGAGCUCUAAUAUGGUACUGCCGUAGGAUGAGACUAACCCAAGGGCCAGACRAGCCAGCAUCAAACCCCACCAGGAACCCCAGUGAGACAGUAUCUCUACAAGGUGUUCAAACGUCUGGAGGCAUCAAUGAGAGCAGAACUGAAGAUGGCAACACCACCUUAUCGUAGCCAUGGAGAUUAAUGUCACGCACCUCAGAUCUUUGCUCUUUUUAAAUUUCUUUUUGGUUUGGGGCGGCUGUGGCGGAGUGGUUAGGGGAGUCGUUCUGGAACCGGAAGGU